GAAGGAAAGUGAACUAUCUUGGGGUGUGAUCUUCAUAUCAAGGGAUGCUGUGUGUGUCCUCUCAGUGACCCUAGAUCAAUACUGAGGGGAACUAAUAAAGGAGUUGUGGAUUCUUGGGAUAUCAAAACACACCUACCGAUGUCUGUAAGAUCUGGCCUAGCACUUAGCACACUCAUAUCAUAUUGAUCUGUACUUUACCAACAGCAUUAAUGGACAUUUGGAUCAGAUAAGUGUUGAUCAACAUAUAACAUAAAC